GUGUUUAUAUGUUAUGCAAUUUGCUCUUGCAUUUGUCAAGACUGAUACGCAGUAGAGUGACGUUAUGUGAAUUGUGUGUUCUUUCUAUUAACAUACUGUUAAAUGAACAUGAACACUAACGCUGACCCUGCUAUACAGUCCCAGUGAGGUAUGUGGCAUAGAACAGGACAUGAUGUCACAAGUCUGGUUAUUAUGAGGAACUGGUUUAUAAAAACAUUGCUUAACAGCACAUGAAGAUCUAGCACUGAAGAGACCGAGGGCAAGACAAAAAUGACGAAAUGGAGGUUGCUGUUUGUUCUGCUUCGUGUUUUGUUCAUGACUGGAUCGUGUAAUGGAUGCCUAGCGCCUGGAGGCGAUUAUAGCUUCGGAUUGAGGCUGACAGAAACGUUCAUCGAAACUAAGAGAGGGCGUGCCUGGAUCCCCUGUGCGUUUACUGCUCCGAUGAGAGCGCUCUCCGGCCGACAAGUCUGGUUCAGACGCAGUCCCGAGUUCCCCCUCAGCCCAGCUGAGGUGCAGAAGAACGUUGGACUGAUGCAACCUAUGAUUUCUACGGAAUCAGAAUGCAGCGUUGUUUUGCGGGACGUGCCGGAUACGCCUGAGGAGUACGGGUUCAUGCUAGAAUGGGGAGCGAACGAAAGACACGUUUUUCCUGAUAGGGUAAAAGUGGCCUCAUGUGUUGGUAUCGACGGUGGAGAUGGCUCAAAGCAUUUACUUGAAGCACUUUGUAGCUGGAGAGGAGACUUUCUUAAACUGUAGCCUUUCAAAGCACUGCCCUGGUAUGGAUCCAAAAAUAACCUGGAAAGGGCUCAGCUCAAAACCACUGUUAAUGCAAAAAUCUCAAAAAGCGCAUGAAUAUUCCAGAUAUUCUGAACAGUUCCUCUAUACGCCCAUACCUGAGGAUCAUCGAGGAAAAAUCACAUGUGAAGCAACGUUUGGGAAAAAUCUGACUGCAAGUGCUACAGCAAUUUUGACAGUUCACUCUCAUCCUCAGAUACUGAACAGCUCUGCAUGCUCUCUGGUACUGGAUCGGCUCAUUUGUACGUGUGUCAGUCAGGGUGUGCCUUUGCCUGAUAUUCUCUGGCCUCUGCUACAAAACAAGCACUAUUUUGUUAAAGGCGGAGCAUCAUACAAUCACACAAUAAGCACCUUCACAAUGACUGUUGUGAACUUCACAAGUAAUAGCACUGUCAUGUGUAUCAGCAAAAACUACCUUGGUCAGACAAAUAAGACACUUGCAGUCAACCACAUUAAUGGUCUUAGAGAUACAUAUAGGUGGACAAUCAAAGGCCUGGUGAUUGCAUUAUUCAGUACACUGACAAUCUGUGUGAUUUGUUUUUGGAUAAAGGCAAAAUACAGACGUCUUACAGAGGUGCCUUACAACUCACUGCAAAACAGAAAAGAAACACUGAACACUCAAAACAACAUAACGUCAUGAAUCAACACUGGACUGGUUUCCUUGAGCAGCAAAACAGCAAAGAAAGCACAUUUAUACUAAUAUUUCAGAAAACUGCUUGACAUUUACAACCUUACAUUCUGACAGCUGGUGUAGUUCUUUAAUUCUUUAAAGAGGCUGUAACCUCUUUGUAUUUUCUGAAAAGUCUAUCUUUCUUUUUUAAGUGACUAGUACCAUACUGUUGGUAUUCAGAGACUCAUGCAGAAUCAUUUCUUAUGCUGCUAGUUGAUUAGUCUAAAAAUGUCCCAUUGUCCUAUCCUAACAAACCAUACAUCAACAAACAGCUUUUUUAUUUAGCUUUUUUGACUGGUUUUGUGGUCCAGGGUCAUAAAUGAAUCACUCAAUUGUCAAAAAUUUGUGCCAUUUGGAAAUUGUGUUCCUUUUAGUGUGUUGUAAGAAUUUCUUUUCAGUUAAUAUCUUGUGUUAAUGACCCUCAAAAUGACCCCUCUAUAUGUAUAUACAUCCAUAAACACACUCUGGAGACCAAAGAACUGUAGCAAAUUGCAUUUAUUAUCACUUAAGUGAGCUGAAGAACAUUUGGGGCAGGAAUACAAGAUCUUAUUUCUUGGUCUCUUCUUCCUUGGAAAGAGUUUUAAUAAGCUCUUCUUUCUUAGCCUGCAGUCUCUCCUCACGGCGUUUGCGUGCCUCACGAGUCUUCGUACGACGAGCCUCCGCCUGAUCG